AAAUUCCUACGGGACGCAGCAGUGGGGGAUAUUGCACAAUGGGGGAAACCCUGAUGCAGCGACGCCGCGUGAGUGAAGAAGUAUUUCGGUAUGUAAAGCUCUAUCGGCAGGGAAGAAAAAAAUGACAGUACCUGACUAAGAAGCCCCGGCUAACUACGUGCCAGCAGCCGCGGGAAUACGUAGGGGGCAAGCGUUAUCCGGGUUUACUGGGGGUAAAGGGAGCGGAGGCGGCCACGC
rnacentral:rRNA from 1 species